GAUGAACGCUGGCGGCGUGCUUAACACAUGCAAGUCGAGCGAGUGGAUUCCCUUCGGGGAUGAAGCUAGCGGCGGACGGGUGAGUAACACGUGGGCAACCUGCCUUAUAGAGGGGGAUAGCCUUCCGAAAGGAAGAUUAAUACCGCAUAACAUCGGAUUAUCGCAUGGUAGACUGAUCAAAGGAGCAAUCCACUAUAAGAUGGGCCCGCGUCGCAUUAGCUAGUUGGUGAGGUAACGGCUCACCAAGGCGACGAUGCGUAGCCGACCUGAGAGGGUGAUCGGCCACAUUGGGACUGAGACACGGCCCAGACUCCUACGGGAGGCAGCAGUGGGGAAUAUUGCACAAUGGGGGAAACCCUGAUGCAGCAACGCCGCGUGAGUGAUGAAGGCCUUCGGGUUGUAAAGCUCUUUGAUCAGGGACGAUAAUGACGGUACCUGAAGAACAAGCCACGGCUAACUACGUGCCAGCCGCCGCGGUAACAC
rnacentral:rRNA from 1 species